rnacentral:rRNA from 1 species
AGUGAACGCUGGCGGUAGGCCUAACACAUGCAAGUCGAACGGCAGCACAGUAAGAGCUUGCUCUUACGGGUGGCGAGUGGCGGACGGGUGAGGAAUACAUCGGAAUCUACUUUUUCGUGGGGGAUAACGUAGGGAAACUUACGCUAAUACCGCAUACGACCUACGGGUGAAAGCAGGGGAUCUUCGGACCUUGCGCGAUUGAAUGAGCCGAUGUCGGAUUAGCUAGUUGGCGGGGUAAAGGCCCACCAAGGCGACGAUCCGUAGCUGGUCUGAGAGGAUGAUCAGCCACCCUGGACCUGGGACACGGUCCAGACUCCUACGGGAGGCAGCAGUGGGGAAUAUUGGACAAGGGGCGAAAGCCUGUUCCAGCCAUACCGCGGGGGUGAAGAAGGCCUUCGGGUUGUAAAGCCCUUUUGUUGGGAAAGAAAAGCAGCAGGUUAAUACCCCGCUGUUCUGACGGUACCCAAGAAUAAGCACCGGCUAACUUCGUG